UACAGAGGUCUCAAGCGUUGUUCGGAUUCAUUGGGCGUAAAGGGUGCGUAGGCGGCGCGGUAAGUCGGGUGUGAAAUCUCGGAGCUUAACUCCGAAACUGCAUUCGAUACUGCCGUGCUUGAGGACUGGAGAGGAGACUGGAAUUUACGGUGUAGCGGUGAAAUGCGUAGAUAUCGUAAGGAAGACCAGUGGCGAAGGCGGGUCUCUGGACAGUUCCUGACGCUGAGGCACGAAGGUCAGGGGGAGCAAAC
rnacentral:rRNA from 1 species